AUGCAAGUCGAACGCUGAAGCCCCAGCUUGCUGGGGUGGAUGAGUGGCGAACGGGUGAGUAACACGUGAGUAACCUGCCCCUGACUUCGGGAUAAGCCCGGGAAACUGGGUCUAAUACCGGAUACGACUGCCGGACGCAUGUCUGGUGGUGGAAAGUUUUUUCGGUUGGGGAUGGGCUCGCGGCCUAUCAGUUUGUUGGUGAGGUAAUGGCUCACCAAGACGACGACGGGUAGCCGGCCUGAGAGGGCGACCGGCCACACUGGGACUGAGACACGGCCCAGACUCCUACGGGAGGCAGCAGUGGGGAAUAUUGCACAAUGGGGGAAACCCUGAUGCAGCGACGCAGCGUGCGGGAUGACGGCCUUCGGGUUGUAAACCGCUUUCAGCAGGGAAGAAGCCUUCGGGUGACGGUACCUGCAGAAGAAGUACCGGCUAACUACGUGCCAGCAGCCGCGGUAAUACGUAGGGUACGAGCGUUGUCCGGAAUUAUUGGGCGUAAAGAGCUCGUAGGUGGUUGGUCACGUCUGCUGUGGAAACGCAACGCUUAACGUUGCGCGUGCAGUGGGUACGGGCUGACUAGAGUGCAGUAGGGGAGUCUGGAAUUCCUGGUGUAGCGGUGAAAUGCGCAGAUAUCAGGAGGAACACCGGUGGCGAAGGCGGGACUCUGGGCUGUAACUGACACUGAGGAGCGAAAGCAUGGGGAGCGAACAGGAUUAGAUACCCUGGUAGUCCAUGCCGUAAACGUUGGGCACUAGGUGUGGGGGGCAUUCCACGUUCUCCGCGCCGUAGCUAACGCAUUAAGUGCCCCGCCUGGGGAGUACGGUCGCAAGGCUAAAACUCAAAGGAAUUGACGGGGGCCCGCACAAGCGGCGGAGCAUGCGGAUUAAUUCGAUGCAACGCGAAGAACCUUACCAAGGCUUGACAUACACCAGACCGGUCUGGAAACAGGUCUUCCCCUUUGGGGUUGGUGUACAGGUGGUGCAUGGUUGUCGUCAGCUCGUGUCGUGAGAUGUUGGGUUAAGUCCCGCAACGAGCGCAACCCUCGUUCUAUGUUGCCAGCACGUGAUGGUGGGAACUCAUAGGAGACUGCCGGGGUCAACUCGGAGGAAGGUGGGGAUGACGUCAAAUCAUCAUGCCCUUUAUGUCUUGGGCUUCACGCAUGCUACAAUGGCUGGUACAGAGAGAGGCGAACCCGUGAGGGCAAGCGAAUCCCUUAAAGCCAGUCUCAGUUCGGAUCGUAGUCUGCAAUUCGACUACGUGAAGUCGGAGUCGCUAGUAAUCGCAGAUCAGCAACGCUGCGGUGAAUACGUUCCCGGGCCUUGUACACACCGCCCGUCAAGUCACGAAAGUCGGUAACACCCGAAGCCGGUGGCCUAACCC
rnacentral:rRNA from 1 species